GAUGAACGCUGGCGGCGUGCCUAAUACAUGCAAGUCGAGCGAAUGGAUUAAGAGCUUGCUCUUAUGAAGUUAGCGGCGGACGGGUGAGUAACACGUGGGUAACCUGCCCAUAAGACUGGGAUAACUCCGGGAAACCGGGGCUAAUACCGGAUAACAUUUUGAACCGCAUGGUUCGAAAUUGAAAGGCGGCUUCGGCUGUCACUUAUGGAUGGACCCGCGUCGCAUUAGCUAGUUGGUGAGGUAACGGCUCACCAAGGCAACGAUGCGUAGCCGACCUUAGAGGGUGAUCGGCCACACUGGGACUGAGACCCGGCCCAGACUCCUACGGGAGGUAGCAGUAGGGAAUCUUCCGCAAUGGACGAAAGUCUGACGGAGCAACGCCGCGUGAGUGAUGAAGGCUUUCGGGUCGUAAAACUCUGUUGUUAGGGAAGAACAAGUGCUAGUUGAAUAAGCUGGCACCUUGACGGUACCUAACCAGAAAGCCACGGCUAACUACGUGCCAGCCGCCGCCGUAA
rnacentral:rRNA from 1 species